rnacentral:pre_miRNA from 1 species
AACCUUUGCUGUGUGGCUGUCCCCCAGGCUGGGCUGGAUGAGUAUCUUUUUGAAAGGCUCUCCCUCAAGCACAACUAAGAGC